rnacentral:rRNA from 1 species
UACGGAGGGUGCAAGCGUUAUCCGGAUUCACUGGGUUUAAAGGGUGCGUAGGCGGGUUGGUAAGUCCGUGGUGAAAUUCCCAAGCUUAACUUGGGAACUGCCGUGGAUACUAUCAAUCUUGAAUAUCGUGGAGGUAAGCGGAAUAUGUCAUGUAGCGGUGAAAUGCUUAGAUAUGACAUAGAACACCAAUUGCGUAGGCAGCUUACUACACGAUCAUUGACGCUGAGGCACGAAAGCGUGGGGAGCAAACAGG